rnacentral:rRNA from 1 species
CAGCAGCCGCGGUAAUACGGAGGGUGCAAGCGUUAUCCGGAUUUAUUGGGUUUAAAGGGUCCGUAGGCGGAUCUGUAAGUCAGUGGUGAAAUCUCACAGCUUAACUGUGAAACUGCCAUUGAUACUGCAGGUCUUGAGUAAAUUUGAAGUGGCUGGAAUAAGUAGUGUAGCGGUGAAAUGCAUAGAUAUUACUUAGAACACCAAUUGCGAAGGCAGGUCACUAAGAUUUAACUGACGCUGAUGGACGAAAGCGUGGGGAGCGAACAGGAUUAGAGACCCCCGUAGUCCCUGUCUCUUAUAC